UCUCCGUUGGUGAACCAGCGGAGGGAUCAUUACAGAGUUAUUAACUCCCAAACCCAUGUGACCUUACGAUUGUUGCCUCGGCGGAGCCUACCCUGUAGCUAGCCUGUAGGGUGGUUACCCUGUAGCGCCCCGCCGGUGGAUUUUCAAACUCUUGUUAUUUUUAGUAAUCUGAGCGUCUUAUUUUAAAUAAGUCAAACCUUUCAACAACGGAUCUCUUGGUUCUGGCAUCGAUGAAGAACGCAGC
rnacentral:misc_RNA from 1 species